GGAAGAUAGAGAUUGAAUCAGCUAGUGGUGACAGUGAAUUCUUUUAGCCUGGAAUCACUACCAGCUCCUGUUUCACACUGUAGUGUCACUGCUUCCUAUGCUUCCCUCAACAACUCUUUUUCUUUUUUUUCACCAACACUUCUCACAGCUUUUCUUUUAAUACUCUGUUGUUAAUGGCAGCCUGUACAUGUCAAAAGUGCAGGGCAGGAGGGGGAAGAUUCCACGGAGAGCCUUCUCCUAGUGGUUGUCACCACACUGGAAGUGAACCUUGCCAACAGUCAUCUCUCAAGUGA
rnacentral:lncRNA from 1 species